rnacentral:piRNA from 2 species
AGGGGCUGGAGAGAUGGCUCAAA